AUAUUAUUAAUAUGCUGUUUUAAUAAGGGUUAAAACUUCAGUUUUUAACAAUUGUCUCAAUAAAGAAAUUACAUAACAGGUUUUAUUUUGGAAUUGGGUUAUAUGGUGGAUGUAUUUGAAUCAAUAUUUAUAAAAUUUUAAAAUAUUAUUAAUAUACUGUUUUAAUAAGGGUUAAAACUUCAGUUUUUUAACAAUUGUCUCAUGGAUUCGUGGUAUAGCGUUACUUAAUAACAAUUAUAAACUGUAAAAUA
rnacentral:sRNA from 1 species